rnacentral:rRNA from 1 species
ACUGAUAUGUAAAACGAGUACUUAAAACUAUAUCUCUAUGGUAAUUAAUCAAAUUUUACGUAUGUUAGGGUAUAUUUUUCCUACACUGAAAUAGUGAAGGUAAUCUUUAUCAAUACAUAUCGUGAUGGGGAUAGAUUAUUGCAAUUAUUAAUCUUGAAC